UCUAGCCCUCAUUUAACCCAAUGACUUUGUGGAAUCUUUUUUGUUAUCAGAUUUUACAGAAGAGGAAAUAGAGACUGAGAGGUUACAUUACUAGCCCGUGCUCAUGCCCAGAGUGUAUAUGGACACCAGGAGACAAAUUCGGUCUGGAGCGGAGAAGCAGUGAGCAUCUCGGGCAGCAGAGGGGCACUGCCAAGCUCCUUCCUCAGAAACUACACUCAUCAUCUCAGUAUCCAGUCACCAUAGCUUUGAACUGUGUCUGUGAGCAUCUGUGCUUUAUCUCAAUUUAUUUUGUGCAUCUGUCAGCAAGUCCUAGCCCUCCAUGACGAAGCUUCUGGCAUCUGCUGAUGGAUGAUAAUGUAUUCGGUAUUAGGAGAUUACACAGCCUAACCCCCAGGAAAAAUGAUUGCGCAAGGAAAUAAUCUUCAUCAGGAGAUAAUUAACAUCUUAUACGUGACUCAUGUAAGUCUGUUUGAAACUCACCCAAAGGCCCUGAUCUCAUGGCAGCUUCACUUCUGACUCUGGCUCCCUCUUGCCUAAUAUUACCAGCACCACAGCCUGUUGAUGAGACAAAUCUGACGAUUUGAUGAGACCACUGCUUGCAGCUGUACGAGAAUGCCAGCUCUGCGAAGCUUCGACAGUGCCUGUGAGAAGAGAAAGGUAAGGGCAGGACUUACUAAAUUGAAAGUCUGAUUUAAAGGCAGGUCUUUUAAAGGAGGUAGAGCUGAUUAGGAGGGGGUAAACAUUCAAGAUCCAGUGGUCUAGAAUUGGUGGAAAGACAGAGGAGGAUUCAGAGAAUCAGGGUGUCAACUGUCUGUUGAUGUUUGACACUGAGGAAUUGAUGAGUCUUCGGGAAAUUCAUAUAAUGAAGAAUCAAAUAACCAUUUGCCGAGCAGAAGA